CCUGCAAGGAUAAUUCCUUCAACUCAGAAAUUUUAGAAUCUGUGUGUACCCAGUUGAUGAAGGAAGAAAGUUAGAAAAUUAAGAUGAUAUAUGUCUGUUAUAUAGCUAAAAUCAGAUGUAUCUAAAGCCUAGUAUUUACAUAAAAUGUUGUAUUCCAUAUUCUAAGUAUGGAAAUUAGAAUGUCUGAUCAGUGGCAAAUAAAACAAAUCCAGCCCCCCUCCUCUCCCACUAAGCAGGGCUACUAAGCCCUUCAGAAUAGUUUUUGCUUGCCAGGAUGCACCUGGUUGUGUUUUGUCUUUCAUGCCAGCUUCCUGUCAGAGGGGUAUAGAGAGGCUGACAUUUGAUGUAUGCAAAAGAACAAAGAAUAGGUUUUGCAUCAAAGCCAAGUUGGCAAAUAUUGUUGUUUCCUGUGACAAGUUUUGCUUAACUAGCGCAAGAACCAGCCAUGCAGAGAAGUGUGCUCCUAUAGUGCAAAACAGAAUCUAUUUAAGAAGGAGAAACAUCAACAGCAAAAAGAUGCUGCAAGGAGCACUGCCACAAUACAGAAAAAUUGAUAGAUUUGUCUCUUCAUGAGAAAAGAAAAUUUUAUGAACUGGGAGGAGGUGUCUUGGUUUUGUUGGUGUGUGUGUGUGUUUACCUGUUAAGUGCUUAUAUCUGAAUAACUUCUGGCUGCAACAAACGAAGAAACAAUUAUGUCAGCUUGUCCUUGGCACUGGCUGGGCACAUGUGUUCUGGGCUGCCUUAAAAAAGGAGUGGCCAGCAGGGAGAGGGAGGUGAUUGUCCCCCUUUACUCAGCUCUUGUGAGGCCCCAUCUGGAGUUCUGCAUCCAGGCCUGGGGCCCCCAGUACAAGAAGGAUGUGGAGCAUUUGGAGCAGGUCCAGAGGAGGGCCACUAAGAUGAUCAGAGGGCUGGAGCACCUCUCCUAUGAGGAAAGGUUGAGGGAACUGGGCUUGUUUAGCUUGGAGAAGAGAAGGCUCCAGGGAGACCUCAUUGCGGUCUUCCGGUACUUGAAGGGAGCGUAUAAACAGGAAGGGGAAUGGCUGUUUACGAGGGUGGAUAGUGAUAGGACAAGGGGGAAUGGUUUUAAAAUGAGAUGGGAGGUUUAGGUUAGAUGUUAGGAGGAAGUUUUUCACGCAGAGGGUGGUGACACACUGGAACAGGUUUCCCAAGGAGGUUGUGGAUGCCCUGGAGGCAUUCAAGGCCAGGCUGGAUGUGGCUUUGGACAGCCUGGUCUGGUGGUUGGCGACCCUGCACAUAGCAGGGGAGUUGAAACUCGAUUGUUGUGGUCCUUUUCAACCCAGGCUGUUCUACAAAGGAAGACUAUAUGCUUGGAACUAGUACUUCAGUGUGAAGGGCAUACUGGAAUGACCUUGGUGACAUCCCUGGGUCUCUCUUUUACUUGGACACCUCCUGCAACUUGAUCAUCCACAUUGUAAAGUCACACAAACCUGGCAGUGCCAUUUCUAAAAGGAAAAGUGAUAAAACCUAUCUUCCAGCAAAUUCUUUCAGUAUUCAGUAGGUCCUUCUAUGCAUAUUUCAACCUCAUUUCUCACUUAGGUUUCACAAGUUUUCUCCAACCUGCACCACUGGUUUUGACAAUUUCUUCCUCAUUUUUAAUUCAUUGUAUGCUGGACUUUGCCACCACUGUGUGCACUCCCCAUCUUCAAGACUAAGUUGCCAUGUGUCUGUGACUUGAUUGCAGCUGGCUUAGUCUGCCUGACAUGCUUAAGAGGUGAUGCUAGAAUUGGGAUUUGUUUUCCAGGUUUGUCAGCUUUCUGCUUUCUAGAAAGGCCUUCAAGUCAGGAAAUUUCCUGAAACGUUCUAAAAGAUCAUGGGUGGCUGUAGUUAGAAGCAACUUAAAGUAAUAGCAACUUUAAUAAUAGCAUUGGUAGAAAUUUAUGAGAAACUUUUAAAGCCAGAAAGUUGGAGGCAGGUACAACGAUGAUUUCAGUCUGUGAUGAUAAGCAUCUUUAGUAGAAAUCUUCAAAACAGAUGACCUCAGAUGUACAUUCAGACAUUAGAAAUGUGCACAGGUAAUUAGCAGCAUGGAUGUUGGUAAGCAGUAAAUGGAUAGUUCCGCUGCAUAUGAUUAUGCACCUUACUGUAAAUAGGAAUUGUGGGUUGUUUUAUUUAUUUGGUAUUUCUACAUCAUUUACUCUACAUUUUCUCCUCAGCUUUAGUCUUCGCAUCACAAACAUUCUAAAAAUUCUGGAAUAUACUCCUCUUACUAUGACUUUGUUCACCUCUUUUUCUAAGUUCUGCCAGUUUUCUCUCCUUAGUGUAUUCUAGAGUAAUUUACCUGUGAUGACAGAAAUAAACCUAGAAAAUAUGAUGGAAUUUUCCUAAUCUUCCAAAGUUUGCCUUUGGAUUCAAUGAUGUUGUAGGUCCCUUGAAGUGACCACAGAUCCAGACACACUUCUGGUCUCCCCAGGUAGGGUAUUUCUCAUGUGCUUGGGCAGGCUAUCACGGACACCUGGUCAAUUAACAAUGCUCACAGCUCACUGGGACUGAUCAUGUCUCUCAAGAGCCACUAUAAUAUGUCUGUAGACAUAUGGCAUCUCUUCAAAACAGUUUCUACAUAAGCAUAUGUUUUUAACACUUUUUCUCCUCCUUUGAACGAGAGCUUUAAAGACUUC
ensembl:lncRNA